GCGUUGUCCGGAAUUAUUGGGCGUAAAGGGCUCGUAGGCGGUCUGUCACGUCGGGAGUGAAAACACGGGGCUUAACCCCGUGCCUGCUUCCGAUACGGGCAGACUAGAGGUAUGCAGGGGAGAACGGAAUUCCUGGUGUAGCGGUGAAAUGCGCAGAUAUCAGGAGGAACACCGGUGGCGAAGGCGGUUCUCUGGGCAUUACCUGACGCUGAGGAGCGAAAGUGUGGGGAGCGAACAGG
rnacentral:rRNA from 1 species